GGCGGAAGUACGAAGCCUCCAGGUCCACCUAGUGAUGCAGUCCCUCCAGCCAAGCUCCUAAAGCUCCCACAAGCCUCCCCAACAGCUCCAGCAGCUUGGACCAAGUGUUCAAACACACAUGCAAGGAAGGAGAGAGUCAGAGGGACGGGAUGAACGGAACAGUGGUUUUGUUAGGACACUUGGUGGCAAUUGUGGCCUCAUCACUAAUUACACUAAUUAGCUGUGAGAAGCGGGAAUUAGCUGUGAGAUGUGGUUUCAGAGGUUCAGUCCAUUAUCAUCAUGGCAGAGAGCAUGGCAGUGUGCAG